UACGUAGGGAGCAAGCGUUGUCCGGAAUCAUUGGGCGUAAAGCGCGCGUAGGUGGCCUCAUAAGUCCGCUGUGAAAGUCAAAGGCUCAACCUUUGAAAGCCGGUGGAUACUGUGAGGCUAGAGUACGGAAGAGGCGAGUGGAAUUCCUGGUGUAGCGGUGGAAUGCGCAGAUAUCAGGAGGAACACCAAUAGCGAAGGCAGCUCGCUGGGACGUUACUGACACUGAGGCGCGAAAGCGUGGGGAGCGAACAGGA
rnacentral:rRNA from 1 species